rnacentral:rRNA from 1 species
GUGUCAGCCGCCGCGGUAAUACGUAGGGGGCAAGCGCUGUCCGGAUUUACUGGGCGUAAAGGGUGUGCAGGCGGACUGGCGAGUCGAUGGUGAAAGCUCCCGGCUUAACCGGGAAAGUGCUGUCGAAACUACCAGUCUUGAGGGCGGAAGAGGAAACUGGAACUUCCGGUGUAGCGGUAAAAUGCGUAGAUAUCGGAAGGAACGCCGAUAGCGAAGGCAGGUUUCUGGGACGUUCCUGACGCUGAAACACGAAAGCUAGGGGAGCAAACAGGAUUAGAUACCCUGGUAGUCCUAGCUGUAAACGAUGUACAUUAGGCGUGGGGAGUUUUCCCCGUGCCGGAGCCAACGCGUUAAAUGUACCGCCUGGGGACUACGGCCGCAAGGUUGAAACUCAAAGGAAUUGACGGGG